UAGCUCAGUUGGAUAGAGUACUCGGCUACGAACCGAGCGGUCGGAGGUUCGAAUCCUC
rnacentral:tRNA from 1 species